rfam:Arabis alpina cultivar Pajares chromosome 6, whole genome shotgun sequence.
UGAAUAAACAUCAUUGAGUGCAGCGUUGAUGUAAUUUACUUUUUUUCUCCAUUUCUGAAUGAAUUAAAGCAAUUGAUAUCAACGUUUGCGCUCAAUUAUGUUUUUC